rnacentral:rRNA from 1 species
UCUGUGCCGGAGCAAACGCGAUAAGUUCACCGCCUGGGGAGUACGGUCGCAAGGCUAAAACCCAAAGGAAUUGACGGGGGCCCGCACAAGCAGCGGAGCGUGUGGUUUAAUUCGAUGCAACGCGAAGAACCUUACCUGGGCUUGACAUGUACGUAGUAGUGAAGGGAAACCGGAACGAGCCUUCGGGCAGCGUAGACAGGUGCUGCAUGGCUGUCGUCAGCUCGUGUCGUGAGAUGUUGGGUUAAGUCCCGCAACGAGCGCAACCCGUGUUGCUAGUUACAAGUGUCUAGCGAGACUGCCGGUAACAAGCCGGAGGAAGGUGCGGAUGAUGUCAAGUCAGCAUGGCCUAUAUGUCCAGGGCUACACACACGCUACAAUGGCUGGUACAAAGAGAAGCGAAAGGGAGACCUGAAGCGAAUCUCAUCAAAGCCAGUCAUAGUUCGGAUUGCAGGCUGCAACUCGCCUGCAUGAAGUCGGAGUUGCUAGUAACCGCAGGUCAGCAAUACUGCGGUGAAUACGUUCCCGGGCCUUGUACACAC